GCCGGGAUGGCGAAAUCGGUAGACGCAGCGGAUUCAAAAUCCGCCGGUGGCGACACUGUGAGGGUUCGAGUCCCUUUCCCGGCACCA
rnacentral:tRNA from 1 species